AUUUAAGUAGUAUAAAAAUUACAGUACAUUUUCAAUGUACAAAUAGAUUAAAUCUCUUAAAUAU
rnacentral:tRNA from 1 species